AUUUCUUCAGUGAGUUCUACUGCGAUUAUGUCAGACGCGGAAGAACAGUGGCCCGGUUUUGGGUAUUCCCGGGUACAAGACGAGAUGGCUUUAAACGAAGAAGAAGAAGGAGGCCAGAGGAACUUGGUGAAGAGUCGUGAAGAAAAUGAAGAUUCAGGAUGGGAGUCAAGAUAAAUGUAGACACCUCUGUGGCCUUUUCAAAAAGACAACCUUGACUUUUCAUCCGAUCAGUUGUUUGUAGUGGUGAAGUGCUCCACUUCUCGUUUUUUAAGAACUUCUCUUUAAUUAGUUGGCGGCGCUCCUCUUUUCAGUACUGUAGAAAUAUCCUCGUUGAUUCUUAGCUAUUAUCGUGUAGCAAUGAGAUUUUUGAUUAAUUCUUGGGGAUAUUUUCUUCCC